GUGGAGAGAGAUAUUACCUCUCAAAAAUUCGGCCCUUUGGUGAAAAUUGGGGUUUUGAGAGUUUCUACCUCCAUUGAAGCUUGAGGAGCCAUCAAUCCUUGGUUGUGUGACCAUUGGUGGAUUGAGACAUUUGGACCAACCGUGAGUGAUCAACCAUUGGAGCAAGCUAUGGAGCUUGAAUAGCUCAUUGGAAUUGGUGUUGGUUUUGGAGUAGAGUAUUGUUGACAUUGGUGAAGAACAAAGGUCGACUGAAGCAUUGAGGUAAGGAUGCUGCAGGAGCCUCUGGUGGCAAGUGGCCAUAUCUGGAUUAUGC